CACUGAAACACUGGUUCCUGUAUAAUCACCGAAGAUAAGCAACGCGGAGCCUAGUCAAUACCUAGAUGGGUGACGAGUUGGGAAUAUCCGGUGCUGUAAG